GCCGAGCUAGAGUGCGUACUAAUCCGGCUGGUGAUCGUGUUUCAAUAGUGGACGAAGACCACAACCAUGCCAUAGUGAGAGAGCGGCGUAAGAAGGGCACACUCAAGUGUGUUUAUGAGCAACGAAAGCUGGAACAAAGUCGCUGCUUUAAAUAGCAGUUAUACCUCAAUCGCAUUUCUGGCUAGUAAAUUUGAGGACGAAUGGAUAUGGUUUGAGCCAUAAGCUUCGGUAAGCAAAUCCAAUUUUUGGCAGAAAAUGUCAGUUACGCGGUUUUGCAGAACGACGAUACGCGGUUUUGGGCUUUAAACGACCAUAUGUAUGUCUAUAUUCAUCAGGCAGCAUUGCGGCUACUGCAGAAUGUUUUGCGAAGCUGAAGUAUAAUUAUCGAGGUCAACUAGUCCACAG